UACGGGGGGGGGCAAGCGUUGUUCGGAAUUACUGGGCGUAAAGGGCGCGUAGGCGGUUUGCUAAGUUGAAUGUGAAAACUCUGGGCUUAACCCAGAGCCUGCAUUCAAUACUGGCAGGCUAGAGUUCUGGAGGGGAUAGCGGAAUUCCUGGUGUAGCGGUGAAAUGCGUAGAUAUCAGGAGGAACACCGGUGGCGAAGGCGGCUAUCUGGACAGAGUCUGACGCUGAGGCACGAAAGCGUGGGGAGCAAACAGG
rnacentral:rRNA from 1 species